AAGAGACAUAGGAAGUUCUGACAGAGGAGACCAGCCUGUGUUGCCCUUCUAGGGAGGGAACCCAAUGCUCUCUCAAGCCUCUUUUCUUGUGGGAUCAGGAGGGAGGGGACAGCCCACGGGUACCAAGCUGCAUCCUUUGACCUUCCAUUCCCCUCAGACUGGCUUCUCCUUGCAUCCUCACUCUCCCCUAGCGGUGCCAGGUCCCCUAAGGACACUCCAGAUCUGGGAUACAGAUAUUUCGCAGGAAGAGCAGGUCAGGCAUGCUCCCCGCCAAAUGAAUUAUUCUCCUCUGUUCCCCGCAGGACGAGUACCCUAACUUAUCCAGAGGUUGCCAGAGGCACCCAAAGCUCGAAAUCUUAUCCAAACAGUUCAACUUGGACAACUUCUUGGAAUGGGGAUCCCCGUGCUCUCUGGGGAAAACCACGCUGGCUGCCCACACAUCAGGAGAGGACACCUCGACUUUUCCGGGGGGAAUCCCCCUCAGAAUCCAUCUCUCUUGGCAGCGAGGUGUCCUAAAGAAGCAAAUUAAGAACUCUCCAAACAGGAGUGCGCUUCUGGAGUGGGAGGUCGUGGGCAGGAGCCAAAGCGCACAAGUUCAGCACUCAUUUUGGACAGAGAACUCCGUCCUUGUUUCCAAGUCAGAAAGCUCUUGUCCACUGGGGAAAAAAGCAGGGACUGAAAGUCGCUGGGAGGGAAGUCCUUAGGCGUGGGUCGGAAAACUGAGGUGAACUGCAACGCUCGAUCUUUGAGCCAUGUCGGUGGGAAACUAUUCUUUCUCCGGGGCGUGGGGGGCUGGGAGACUUCCCUGGCAAAGCAGUCGACGUAAGCCCAGCUGCUCUGGACUCUAUCCCUCUGUCCCUAGGCAGCCUGGAGAACUUGGUACCUCGGACAGCAGCCGGGGCGCACAGCAUCCUUUGUAAGGUGCGGUCUUAUUUUGCCCCCACCAAGUCAAACACCAACAAAUUAUUUCUCUGACCUUUCUAAUACAGAUGAAGGACAUUUUAAUUACAUAACCCAUGAAAGAUCACCGGAGGCAAUGUCGUGUUUGAGAACCGAUGGCAGAAUAGCUGCAUAGCAUAAAAAGACAGAAAACUUGCAAAUCUGCAACGAGAUUGCGCAAGGCUGUCCCUCCUCUGGAAACAACAUGUGAAAUGUAUGGAAAAAAAAUCUUACCUUUCGGACUCCAAAGCCGUGUUCUGCUGCAACUUGGCGAGCCUCUUCCUCUCCGUCUUUAUGCAACUCCACAAGAAAAUGAUUCGUGAAGACGGGUCUCUCGGCAGACGCAAAAACCAUCACACAGAAGAGGAACCCGGCCGCCUUCCACUGGGAUCCACAACCGCCCUCCAUCCUUCUUUGGGAGUGAAAAGUGGGGCUGUGAGGCGCGCAGGGUGGUGGAGCAGGGGACGAAGAGGGAAGAUGCAAAUAAAAAAUAGGUGUAUUCAGACUCUUUAGGAAGAAGAAUUCAGAUCCACACACUAUCAAGUCGAGGAAAAUCUGCUAUGUCAGAGACGGGGAACAGGGCAAACCAUAGUCAUCCAUAGGAGGAACUUCUGGACCUGUGCAUAUUGUUUGAACCACCGCAGAAGGGAGACAUGUACAAGGAAGACCUGGCAACUUUCCUCAGCAAGAACACAUGAAUGAAUAAGGAAAAUGAGCUUGUGCCUUUUAGCUGAGGUGAUUUGUCAAAAGCCCACAGCACUGUGGCUGUUCCCAGACUUUAAGGGAUAUACUCAACCUCAAUCGAAGGAGAAUCUCAAAAGCUAAAUCAUUGAAUUGAGGGAGAGGUUUUAGUUGAAUGUGAGGUGACCUGUUCACCUGUGGGGCUGAAUAUAUUGGUCUGAAGGCAUUUCUUUCUUGCCAAAGCAUUAAACAAUGGGGAUUUAUAUUAUUUGACUUACUGCUUGAGUGGUGUGGAAUGAGAGAUCUCACAGAAUGUGAUUGUCUUUGAUGCUUGAAAGAGGGUACAGUGUGUGAGCAGGGGACUGGAGAAUCAACUGCUUGCUAGGAGCCCCAGCUGGUGAAUACUGGAAAAACUGAGUUCUAUAGCACAAUUAAAGUCAUUCUAUUAAUGAUUUUUGACAUGCAUUAAUGUGGACCCCAACAAUGCUAUACAUGUAUAGGUAUUUCUGGGUUUUCCCUCCAUUUUGUGCUAUGCAUGGAGUUUCGCUGUUAUGGAACACAUUAAUUAGGUCCCUUUCUCUAUGGCUUCCCACUGAAUUCUGACAAUAGGAGGAAUUAUUUCAAAAAUUGAGACUGGGGCAGGAAUGUUGGCUCAGGAUUUUAUAUUCCGUAAUUUGCCCCUUAGUGGCUCAGCACAUGUUCCUUCACCAAUUGUAAGAGUUUUGUCUAAGGUUCUUCAGAAAUCACUAACCACUAUCCUAUUUCCUUAAGCCUGUAAGGACUAUAGGAGCAGUGUAUUGCUAUUUCUCUGUGGCUUUGCCAUGCUUCUUUUGAUUUUCUUGACCCCUUUAUGCUUUUGUCAGUAGACUUAACUAUACAUUUAAUUUCUUAUGUGUUGGCACCCUGGAUAGGGAAUUUCCUAUAAAAUGCAAAACAUUUUAUACAUGUUGAGUGUGUCUAAUACUUAUACAUUAAAUCUAUUAUGAUUAAAACACAAAUCUUAUUUUGAACAUAGUUACAGCUUUCCAGCCUUUAUGGAGAUUGGCUGGACAUAUAGAGUUGUCAACAUAAACAAAAAGAGAAAAAUGACACAACAUGGAAGAAAAUAUAUGAGACAUAUUCACACAACGCUAUUAAGAGGCAUGGGGAAAUGAGACAGUUGGAAUUUUUAGGACAUCUCCAGAACCGAACAAGUAGAAGUCAAAUUGGGAAAAAUCAGAAGGGAUUACCAGAAAAACAAAAACAAACAAAAAUCCAAAUGAAACAAACAAGCAAACAAGCAAGCAAGCAAGCAAACAAACAAACCGGAAACACAACCACUACAAGUCAUGGAAGAGGUAGGUUUAAGAAGGCCAGUUAAGCAUCCCCUGGAGAGUAUGCUCUGUGUGGUGAGCUCUGUCCGUGGUGCUGACGACCCACUGUCUGAGCUUUGCUUCCUCUGUAGAGCAGGGGAAUUCAGCCUUAGUGACUGAUGUGCCUUCAGACUUGUCUGGAACAUACUUUAUACUAAGGGUGUUUUCCACAGGGGCAAAGUGUGCAAGGCUAAAGAAGAUUGGGAACUAUCUCAUUUGUCUCCCAGCUCUUACAUGUUUGUACAUGAUUGAUAGCAGCAUCAGUGCCAUUGGCAAUUGCACUGAGCAUAUUACCAUGCUAAAACAAUUUACCAAGAAGAUAGGCACAAAUGUGAGAACCCACAGCAGCAGCUUCAAGAUAAGAGGCCAGAGCAAAUGUACCCUUAUUUCCACAAGAUGGAAACAGCCCAAAUACCUGGAUAAAUAUAUAUUAGCUGAACUGAGGCUUCUUUUUCCUAUUUCUUAAGUUACAUUGUCCUGAACCAAGGAGGACUAUUUCUCAUUUAAAAAAUGAAGAAGAUUGUUACAGAAGAUAUGAUGAAAACAAAUUAGUUGGUAAAAAUAAAUGGUAUUUGGACAGUUUGGGGAGAAAUAACAAUGUAUUCUAAGGCUUGCCUUUGUUGUUAUCAUUAUUCUUUAUAGCAGCAAUGACCAAGGAAACAAGUAGGCAUUUUUUUCAAGUUAUUGUCAAUUCAUUCAUUCUCAAUAGACACAGAAUGCAAUUUCUAGAUAAAAUCUAAUAUAUAAUUAUUGAGAAAUUUUAACCACCUGCAAGUUUUGCAGAGUAUUGCAACUUUGGUAUGAAAGAUCUUAAGUUUAAAAUGUAGGUGCUAAGACAAAUGAGAUCAUUGCAAUGACUUAGAAGGCUUCUCAUUGAAUUAGAGUGAAUUCAUGAAAAUAGGAAAAUGGAUCUAGAAUGGAUUGCAGAAAUGAUGGGAAUAUUAAUAUUAUGAGACCAUAUAAAUACCUCAGAAAUUACCUUGCCAGGUUUGUGAUCAAGUUUGUAAAGGAACUCACACACGAAAGAAGAGAGAACACAUGCUCACACAUAAACACACACACCACACACACACACACACACACACACACACACACACACACACACACACACAUGAGUAUAAACUUAGACUUAGAUGCUCAACAGCAUCACUUGGAAAUGCAAGCACUUGAAAGUCACCUUGUGUUCCACUUCUUCCCUUCCCUUUUCUGAUUUUUAAAAGUCUUUGCUAUGGUGACAAAACAUUAAAGAAUUCCAGGACACAAUUUUCAGCCUGUC
ensembl:antisense Pcsk2os1 proprotein convertase subtilisin/kexin type 2, opposite strand 1